rnacentral:rRNA from 1 species
AUGUAAAUUUUUGUGGGAAGUUUUAUUUAUUUUAAAAAUAAAUAAUUUUUAUUUAAUCGCAGUAAUUAAUAUUAUUAAUUAAAUAAAUUUAGAAAUAGUAAUAAUAUAUAGUAUUGACAAAAUUUGUGCCAGCAGUUGCGGUUAUACAAAUAAUGCAAAUAAUAUAUUUAGGUUUAAGUUAAAUUGAUUUUAAAAAAUAAAUAUAAAUUUAUUAGGUGAAAUUUUAAUUUUAUUCUAUUUUAAAUAUGGUUAAUUGAAACUUAAAAAUUUUUAUAAAAGACUAGGAUUAGAUACCCUAUUAUUAAAAAUGUAAUUUUUUUUGACUUGAGUAGUAAGAGUUAUGUUCUUGAAACUUAAAAAAUUUGGCGGUAUUUUAGUCUAUUCAGAGGAAUCUGUUCUGUAAUCGAUAAUCCACGAUGGACCUAACUUAAGUUUGUUUUCAGUUUAUAUACCGUCGUUAUUAGAAUAUUUUAUAAGAAUGAUAAUUUUCUAGAAUUUUAAUUAAAAUUUAUAUCAGAUCAAGGUGUAGCUUAUAUUUAAGUAGAAAUGGAUUACAAUAAAAUUAUUUAUAUGGAUUUAAAUAUGAAAAAUUUUUUGAAAGUGGAUCUGAUAGUAAAAUUAUAAAGAUUAAUAAUUUGAUUUUAGCUCUAAAAUAUGUACACAUCGCCCGUCGCUCUUAUUAUUAAGGUAAGAUAAGUCGUAACAUAGUAGAUGUA